rnacentral:RNase_P_RNA from 1 species
CGGGCGGGCUGGGUGAUCGCUGGUUCCGGCGGAGGAGUGGUGACGUAAAGCCGCCUCUACGAAGCUGGAACGGGAGGAAAGUCCGGACACCGUCCUGAGGCACGUUGAUCAUUUUGUGGGCGUCACUAUGGCGACUGCGGAGUGGUUGGCGGAACUCUUGACAGGGCAACGCGCCUGGUAACGCCGGGGGGUGCAAUGGGGAGCACAGGCGAAAGUCUGUGCCACUCACAGCGCCGCGGAAAGUGCCACAGAGAAUAGACCGCCGAACCUGCGGGACGUCUUCGAAAUGCUCUCAACGUUUGGCAAGGGUGAAAAGGUGGGGUAAGAGCCCACCGCUCCGGUGGUGACACCGGGGGCACGGAAAACCCCGCGUGGUGCAAGGCCAAAUAGGAGGGGAGAGCCGGCCCGGCUCGAUGAGUCAGCGUUCAUGAGAAUGAACGCGCUCCUUCUGCGGCGGCGCAAGCCAUCGUGGACUGAAAACCCUCGGGUAGGCUGCUGUAUCCCGGUAGCGAUACCUGGACUAGAGGAAUGAUCGCCGCGACGCGCAGGCCGUUCCGCGGUUUGCGCGCGGCACAGAAUCCGGCUUACAGGCGCGCCCGCCAU